ensembl:lncRNA
CUAAUUGAUAGAGCAAAUUCUCAGCUACAAAACACCGUUUUGCAGCAUAGUCACCACCAUUAGCUAUGCAUUCUUGCCAGUGAUGAACAAGAGCUUUCAUGACUCACUUGUAAAAAUCUGCACCAGAGGAGAGGAGGUGACCACUGUUGCUGUCACCACUGCUGAAAUGCACCAUCCACUGCCUCACUGCUCUCACAUCCACUGUUUGGUCUCCAUAAAUGUUCAGCUUGACAGAUGGGCCGAAAGCACUGCAGACGUUUGAACAAGGAAAUGGAGAGGGAGCCUGCUGGAAGCAGGGCUUCACGCAGCCAGCCGCAGAUGAUGAAUAGAGUGUGAUUGUGUCUGACAGGCAGCUGGUGUACGGAAGACCAACUGAAGGCUUUACUUCGGCAAGAUCAAAAUCUAUGCAGUGGGAGGAUUUCUGAAAGUACCCUUAAAGAAGUGGAAAAGAUGGGAAAUCACUGAAUUUUCAAGAAUGAAGACAGGAUAUGCAAACACAAACAAGGUCAAAAUUAGAAGGAAGAGGUGGUAUUUAAAAAUACAGCUACAAAGUGCCUUAAUUAUAUCAAGACAGAAAUGAAUAGUCCAUGAUUUAGCAACUGCAGUACAACUAGGAGAAAUGAUGCAUUGAAGGUAGAUGGGACUUGAGCUAGUAGGUGACGACAGAAAAUUUGCACUGGAGGACCAAGAUACCAUACUUUUCCAGCCUAGAAAUGGACCAUUACAGAAGGGAAUGCAGAUGAACAUGGCUGAACUCAGUGCUGCAGUUUACAGAAGUAUCUGCUCACAGCACAGAAUGACACAUGGCUUGUCCUACAUCACAGACAACACUAAGCAGUGUAUGGGAACAGUAGACAAGGAAAAGAAUUGUAGAAUCAUUGAAUCGCCAAAGCUGAAAAAGAUCUCCAAGACCAUCCAGUCCAACUUUCCACCUACCACCAGUAUUUCCCACUAAACCAUGUCCAUCAAUACAACAUCCAAAUGUUUCUUGAACACUUCCAGGGACAGUGAUCUAACCACCUCCUUGGGCAGCCCAUUUCAGUGCCUAACCACUCCUUUGGAGAAUAAAUUUUUCCUAUUAUCCAACCUGAACCUCCCUUGGCACAAAAGAACAAAUAACAAGUGGUUUGGUUUUUCUGUCACAGGUUGUUGGUGUGGUUAAUAUUCUCUGCUUCAGUACUCUGCGUUUACAACUCUUUUGCAAUGAGGUCACACUGACAAGCCACAAACACUGCUUGUUCCUUUUAAGAAAUAGUGAUUGCUAGACGCAAAUGAAUUCAGGGAUGGCUGAGAGGUGAUCUUGCAAGACUUCAAAAUAUCAAAGUGUGUCAUUCUGAUAUGCCUGAUAAAAGUGUUAUUUAAAUAUCCAUGGAAACCAACCUUCACAUUCAACUCAGGGGCUUUGGUCAUAAAUAAAAUACUGGACUGUGAAGGGAUUUCAAAGAUAUACCUUGUCUUUUUGAUCUCUGCAGUUAAUUCUUUCUCUCAACUUGGUCCUUAGAAAGGCGAUUGAAAGUGCAGCUAAGCUAAACGUUCCGUG